CACGGGGGGAGCAAGCGUUGUUCGGAAUUACUGGGCGUAAAGGGCGUGUAGGCGGUCUGGUAAGUGGGAUGUGAAAUGCCCCGGCUCACCCGGGGACCUGCAUCCCAAACUACCUGGCUUGAGUAUGGGAGAGGAUGAGGGAAUUCCUGGUGUAGCGGUGAAAUGCGUAGAUAUUGGGAGGAACACCGGUGGCGAAGGCGGCCCCCUGGACCGGUACUGACGCUGAGGCGCGAAAGCGUGGGGAGCAAACGGG
rnacentral:rRNA from 1 species